rnacentral:rRNA from 1 species
UGCAGUCGAGCGGACAGAAGGGAGCUUGCUCCCGGAUGUUAGCGGCGGACGGGUGAGUAACACGUGGGUAACCUGCCUGUAAGACUGGGAUAACUCCGGGAAACCGGAGCUAAUACCGGAUAGUUCCUUGAACCGCAUGGUUCAAGGAUGAAAGACGGUUUCGGCUGUCACUUACAGAUGGACCCGCGGCGCAUUAGCUAGUUGGUGAGGUAACGGCUCACCAAGGCGACGAUGCGUAGCCGACCUGAGAGGGUGAUCGGCCACACUGGGACUGAGACACGGCCCAGACUCCUACGGGAGGCAGCAGUAGGGAAUCUUCCGCAAUGGACGAAAGUCUGACGGAGCAACGCCGCGUGAGUGAUGAAGGUUUUCGGAUCGUAAAGCUCUGUUGUUAGGGAAGAACAAGUGCAAGAGUAACUGCUUGCACCUUGACGGUACCUAACCAGAAAGCCACGGCUAACUACGUGCCAGCAGCCGCGGUAAUACGUAGGUGGCAAGCGUUGUCCGGAAUUAUUGGGCGUAAAGGGCUCGCAGGCGGUUUCUUAAGUCUGAUGUGAAAGCCCCCGGCUCAACCGGGGAGGGUCAUUGGAAACUGGGAAACUUGAGUGCAGAAGAGGAGAGUGGAAUUCCACGUGUAGCGGUGAAAUGCGUAGAGAUGUGGAGGAACACCAGUGGCGAAGGCGACUCUCUGGUCUGUAACUGACGCUGAGGAG